AUUUGCCAGUUAAUCCCAAUACUAUUUUAUGAAUUCAUUGGUUAGAAAUUACAUAUUUGUCAUGCUAAAUUCCAAGUUGAAAUUUUGUUCAGAAAUGUUGCUGUAAGUUCAGUUAUUAUGAAAAAUUUUUAGUACUUCUUAGCUGGAGAUGCACAACUAUAAUCCCAGUAACUCAAGAGGCAGAGGCUGGAGGAAUGUAAAUUUGAGGUCAGCAAUUUAGCAAGACCCUAACUAAAUUGCUAAGUUGGGAGACCUUAAGCAACUUAAAAGAUCAGGCAUAUAGCUCAGGAUAAAAGUGCCUCUGGGUUUAAUUCCCAGCAACUCCCCAAAGUUACAGUAUUUCUUGUUAUAUGAACUAUCAUUUCAAAUCAUUAUAAUUCAGUACAGUAUAAUUAGUAGUGAAAUUACAUCAAGAAUUUAAAAAAUUUCUCAGUGAAUCAAAAGCUAUUCUAGAGAAUGAAACUGAGGCAUGUGCCAGUAAAAGGAUAGAACUGGAGACUGUCAUGCUUGGUGAAAUAAGCCAAUUCCAGAAAAACCAAAAGCCAAAUAUUCUCUUUGAUAUGUAGAUGCUAACACACAAUAAGGAAGGAGGAGAGAAGAAUGGAAGUUUAUUGGAUUAUACAAGGGGGAAUGAAGGGAAGGGAGCAGGUAUGGGCAUAGGAAAGACAGUAGAAUGAAUCAGUCAUAACUUUACUAUGUUCAUAUAUGAAUAUACGACUAAAUCAUAUUCAACCACAAGAAUGGGAUCCUAAUUAGAAUAUGUUCCAUUCCAUGUAUUGUAUAAUAUGUCAAAAUACAUCCUGCUGUCAUGUAUGUCUAAAAAGAACAAAUAAAUGAAAAGCUAUUCUAGGAUAUUAUAAUGCUUUGGGGGGUGGUUCUUACUAAAAUAAAUUGUGAUUAGAAUGACAAGUUUUAGUACCAGUUUAUUGAUAAAUCUUGUUAAAAGGUUAGAUUCAUGUUCCACCAUAAUCAUUAAUAUUUCUUUAUAAAAUUCUAAGACAUUGUUGAUUUAAUUACAUCUUAUUUAAGUACUGAAAAUAUGUA
rnacentral:lncRNA from 1 species